rnacentral:lncRNA from 1 species
GAGGAGUUCAGAAGGAAAUUCACAAGCUAGUAAACCAUCUCAGCAGAAACAGAGAAGAGGACCAAGAUUUGCACCUGAGUUGGAUGGUUUGAACUGCUUUGAGACCAUCAUCUGUUAAGUCUUGAAAUAUGAACUGUAAAAAUUGUGAUCGUUUGUGAGUGGGAAGAAUUACUACUACUAAUUUGUAUUCAAUUCAUUGGUCAAUUAAUUUUGUAAAUUCUUGAGUUCUUACUUGUGAGAAUUCCCUCAAUCUAAAAGUAUUUGUUUUUUAAUCCGAUUUUUUGAGUUCAUUUAGUAAUAAUCAUGCUUGUGUUUAUAAAGUGUGUACUGUGCACCAAGUGACCGCCAAAUUUAUAAUUGCAACCUUAACCAUCUUGAUAAAUUAAUUGAUGAGCUUGAUAAAUUUGAUAAAAAUUGAGCCAAGUUAUUUAGAAACUGGUCGUAACUAAACCAACUGAUCAUUGCAAGACAGAAGAUUACAUAAACAUACAACAGAUAUUUUAGUGGGGAUUAUAAUGUGACAAACUGACAAUAGUUGCGAAUGGGCCUGUGGCUCAAUGGUAGCACCCCUCUCACAAAAGUGCAAAAGUGGAGAGGAGAGGUUGUGGGUUCCAAAAGUUUAGUUCUUCUUAAGAGAUUAAGACGAAAUUUUUAGUUGAGUCUCCAAAGUUUAUAUCUGAAAAGAAAAAAAAUUCUAUAUAUAUUAUUGUAAAGAUCUUCAUGAUCUUAUUUUGGUCGGACUUCUAUAAAAUAUUGAAUCGCCUAUUCACAAGUGCUGAAAAAUACGUAAAAAUAACUUCAAAGUGCACAUAAAUUACACUGGCAACUCUGUUAAAUGCUUGAAAACGGUCAGACCAUUUUGCAAACGUGUUGAAAGAUUUGGAACCAAAUUGAGCAGUUUAAACUUAGAAGACUCAACUAAAAAUUUGAGCAAAGUUAGAAGACCAAAAUAAUUAAUUCAUAUUUGUUUCGAUGGCUUAUAGAAAGAAAAUGAGGAGAUUUUGAAGUUGAAAACAAGUCGAGGUCGUUGCAGUAGUACUUGUUGAUUACUGGCAAUGUGCUCUUAAUUCAAAAAUCUUCCACAACCCUAAACAUGCUACUGUUUUUGUUGUGUUACUGCGAGAACAUAGUUGACUACAAGCUAGAGAUCGAAUAGCUGUUGCCAUUAUAAGCGGUAAAUCUAUUCACAACUUUGGAAGACUUAUGAUGCUUAGAAAUAUUGAGAACCCGGCAAUCAAGUAUUCAAUGGCUCCCGCUGCUUGUUCCUCUUGUCGUAACCCUUUUCAUUAUCCGGUUCAUGAUCAAAACAAACGCGAUCGUCAAGAGAUGAGGCGCUGUACUGCUUUAUUUGUUCUUUGUCUUGAUAUUAAUUAUUUGUAAAUGAGUUCAAAUAUCUCGAGGUAUAAUUAACAAAUCAUGAUGCACAGGCAUUUCAUUAUCGAAUGGGUUAUGGUGGACUGGAGAUUGCUCUUUUCAUUACUGAAGAGUUGAGGAACAAAAAGGUACCUUCUUUUUUUUUCUGGAGGUUGCUCGUUCCUUGCUUUAAUGUCACCUUUUUCCUAUUAAUUAGGCAUUUUUAACAUGCAUGUUUAAUUUCCUACAACAUGUUUCAUUGCCUACAUCUAAUGUUUUAGCUUGUCUUCCAGAUUGCCCAACUGGAGUUUCUAAGAGUGAUGGGGUGAGAGCUUUCCACACUCACAUUCUUUCUAUAUACUAAUGCUGGAGGCAUUUCAGUGAAUUUUGAAGGUGGCAUGUGGUUGGACUUGGACAGGUUUCGUCUUCUCGUUGAUAAUCAAAAGCAAGAACAUAUGAUCACCUAGGUAAGUACAUGUUUAAUUAUGGCAUUAGUAAUGCAAUUGUACUGUACGCACACACCUAAACGGGUCUAAGAAGGCUUAUUUCUUACUCGAAAAACCAGAUUUAGAGAAAAGUGUGUGAUCACAGUGAAAAUAAUGUGAGGAUGAUUUUUAUUUGCUUGGUUGCAGACAACUUUUAUAAUGCAUAUGUUGAGUCUCUAAAGGUCCACUCUACUCUACAUCGUCAUUGGGUACGUUGUUAUAUGUAUUUAUGCAUUUCUUUUCCUUCCCUUCUUUUUCCCCUUUUCUGGAUUUGAACUAUAUUGUACUUCUGGUUAGAUGUUAUUUUAUCGUUUACAACCAUAGAUAUCCUUAUUGUAGACUGACAGGACAAAAGCUUGGUACUGCGACUACUGCAAGGGGCAAACUAGAAUGGGGAAAUAUGUAUCUACAUUUGAUAGUCACUGAAGCUUUCUUUAGUGGUAAGGUAUCUGGCCUCUGUUACUAUGGAUUAUUGUAUUGUAUACUCUCCAAGAUUGGUAUAUGAACACAAAUUUCAUGCAACUGUCAAUGUUAGCGUUUAAACUUUUAAUGAUCCUGUAUUAAGUAGCCACAUUUAAUUUGUUGUAGUAAGCAUAUUUCAAAAUGCCGAUUUCGAGCUAAAUUUUGAAUUCUGAAAAAAUGGAUUUUGUCGAGACCAGUGUGAAGGUUGAGUAUGUGUCCUGUGGCUAUUGGGCAAGGCCUCAAGUCUUAUGGCUUAGUCAGCUAGUGUCCAGUGACAACAUGUUGUUGACCAAUUCAAACAGUCUAAUAAAAAUUAGUCAAUACCAGUGCCCCACAAACGCGUUUCAUGUCAACUUAUAAUUUCAAACGAGGUACAAAUUGACUUUCCUUUUCCCUCGAACUUUCCUGUGAAAUAAGUUUCUAACUUCCUCUGAUUCUCUCCACUAUAAAACCCAAGCUGAUUGCUGCUUUGCUUCAACAACAACAACAACUCAAACCAAGUUACAACAAUUUCUCAACUUGUUCAUCUUCUUCAUCAUAAGCAAAGUUUUAUUUUUCGUCUUUGUUUGUGAUUAUAAUCAUGAAUUCGAUAUUUAGUUCUUUUGAUGCUCUUUGUGCCGAAUAUUUCCUACAUAAGAAGGUUGGAUUCCAGUCUUCUUCUUUUACUACUACUACUGUUAACAAAGUUGAAGUUAAGAAUACUCAAAACGAGAACAACUUAAAGCCAACUGCACAAGCUAGUAAACCACCUCAGCAACAGAAACAGAGAAGAGGACCAAGAUUUGCACCUGAGUUGGAUGGCUUGAACUGCUUUGAGACCAUCAUCUGUUAAAGUCUUAACUGUAGUUAUAUAGUUUAUGAGCUGUAAUGUUUAUUCUUUGGUUAAAUUUUGUAAAUUCUUAGAGUUCUUACUUGUGAGAAUUCCCUCAAUCUAUUAAUACAUACUUGUUUUUUAAUUUGGCAAAUCUGUGAAUCAAUUUGUAUGUGCAACAAGUAACCAUCAAUUAACAAUAUCAAUUGAUUAAUCCAUGAGAAAAAAAUUUGAUGGAUCAGAUUAUUUACAAUU